UGUACGAGCAGGUCACAGUGGUGUUCUAAA
rnacentral:piRNA from 1 species